CCCUUAGAUGUUCUGGGCCGCACGCGUGCUACACUGAGUAAAUCAAUGGGUAAGGGAACACGAAAGUGCAACCUAAUCUUGAAAUUUGCUCGUGAUGGGGAUCGACGGUUGCAAUUUUCCGUCGUGAACGAGGAAUACCUUGUAGGCGCGUGUCAUCAUCACGCGCCGAAUACGUCCCUGCCCUUUGUACACACCGCCCGUCGCUCCUACCGAUGAAUCGUCCGGUGAAGUUCAUGGAGUGGUGGUUGUUCCAGCUGCUGUCGAAGUGAAAUGGACCUCACGAUUUAGAGGAAGGAGAAGUCGUAACA
rnacentral:rRNA from 1 species